rnacentral:rRNA from 1 species
ACGGAGGGUACGAACGUUAAUCGGAAUUACUGGGCGUAAAGCGCGCGUAGGCGGUUCGCUAAGUGAGGUGUGAAAGCCCCGGGCUCAACCUGGGAACUGCAUUUCAAACUGGCGGGCUAGAGUGUGGUAGAGGGAGGUGGAAUUUCCUGUGUAGCGGUGAAAUGCGUAGAUAUAGGAAGGAACACCAGUGGCGAAGGCGGCCUCCUGGACUAACACUGACGCUGAGGCGCGAAAGCGUGGGGAGCAAACAGG